GACGAACGCUGGCGGCGUGCUUAACACAUGCAAGUCGAACGAAGUGGCGAACUGGUGAGUAACGCGUCAUCAACCUGCCCUUCAGAGGGGGACAACAGUUGGAACCGACUGCUACUACCGCCUACUGACGGCGGGGAUUGCGUUUGAUUAGCUAGUUGGAGGGGUACCGGCCCACCAAGGCGAUGUUCAGUAGCCGGUCUGAGAGGAUGACCGGCCACAUUGGGACCGAGACACGGCCCAGACUCCUACGGGAGGCAGCAGUGGGGAAUCUUCCGCAAUGGACGAAAGGCUGACGGAGCAACGCCGCGUGAGUGAUGACGGCCUUCGGGUUGUAAAGCUCUGUUAAUCGGGACGCGGUACCGGAAUAGAAAGCAACGGCUAACUACGUGCCAGCAGCCGCGGUAAUUC
rnacentral:rRNA from 1 species